rnacentral:rRNA from 1 species
CAGUCGCCACGGGAAUACGAAGGGGGCUAGCGUUGUUCGGAUUUACUGGGCGUAAAGCGCACGUAGGCGGACUUUUAAGUCAGGGGUGAAAUCCCGGGGCUCAACCCCGGAACUGCCUUUGAUACUGGAAGUCUUGAGUAUGGUAGAGGUGAGUGGAAUUCCGAGUGUAGAGGUGAAAUUCGUAGAUAUUCGGAGGAACACCAGUGGCGAAGGCGGCUCACUGGACCAUUACUGACGCUGAGGUGCGAAAGCGUGGGGAGCAAACAGGAUUAGAUACCCGUGUAGUCCCUGUCUCUUAUAC